rnacentral:rRNA from 1 species
AGCGUAGGCGGACAUUUAAGUCAGGGGUGAAAUCCCGGGGCUCAACCUCGGAAUUGCCUUUGAUACUGGGUGUCUUGAGUAUGAGAGAGGUGUGUGGAACUCCGAGUGUAGAGGUGAAAUUCGUAGAUAUUCGGAAGAACACCAGUGGCGAAGGCGACACACUGGCUCAUUACUGACGCUGAGGUGCGAAAGCGGUGGGGGAGCAAACAG